UCCGUAUGUUUGAUAUGUGUGGUUGAUUGACAUAUAUAUGUAAUAUUACAUGUCAUUUCAUGUUUUAUUUGUGUGGCGAAUGCAAUUGUACUUUUAAACAUUAUUUUAUAUCAUAUCACUUGUAUAUAUAUUGUUCUCUGCAUACAUACGUAUUUGUUAUGCAGAUCUGUGAGUGUGAUCAUUCAGAAGAAUAUCCUCCAUUAUGAUCAGCUUGGGUACAACCAGCCUGGUAUGUAAUACCUGACCAGAUUCCCUAUAUACCAGAAAUGUAUUUACAAUAAUAUUUCCUAAAGAUACCUACAGUAUGUCUUUAUGAUCGUUGUAUAUUUGUACUAAUAUUAUGUAACAUUAUAUCUUGUGACAUAGUUCAGAUGUAUUUAACUAGGUGUAUCUUAUAUACUUAAUGAGUGAUUUGAACCUGUACAUAUUUAUGUGAUUCCAUUUAAUAUACUUUCUUAUAUGUUCUUUCAGGCUGUUUAAUAAAUAGACCAGAAAUAAACGUAUCGGCCUCA